UACAGAGGUCUCAAGCGUUGUUCGGAUUCAUUGGGCGUAAAGGGUGCGUAGGCGGCGCGGUAAGUCGGGUGUGAAAUCUCGGAGCUUAACUCCGAAACUGCAUUCGAUACUGCCGUGCUUGAGGACUGGAGAGGAGACUGGAAUUUACGGUGUAGCGGUGAAAUGCGUAGAUAUCGUAAGGAAGACCAGUGGCGAAGGCGGGUCUCUGGACAGUUCCUGACGCUGAGGCACGAAGGCCAUGGGAGCAAACAGG
rnacentral:rRNA from 1 species